AUUGAACGCUGGCGGCAUGCUUUACACAUGCAAGUCGAACGGUAACAGGGAGCUUGCUCCGCUGACGAGUGGCGAACGGGUGAGUAAUGCGUCGGAACGCGCCGAGUAGUGGGGGAUAACGCAUCGAAAGGUGUGCUAAUACCGCAUACGUACUGAGGUAGAAAGUGGGGGACCUUCGGGCCUCACGCUAUUCGAGCGGCCGACGUCUGAUUAGCUAGUAGGUGAGGUAAGGGUUCACCUAGGCGACGAUCAGUAGCGGGUCUGAGAGGAUGAUCCUCCACACUGGGACUGAGACACGACCCAGACUCCUACGGGAGGCAGAAGUGGGGAAUUUUGGACAAUGGGCGAAAGCCUGAUCCAGCCCUGCCGCGUGUCUGAAGAAGGCCUUCGGGUUGUAAAGGACUUUUGUCGGGGAGGAAAUCCCCAGCGUUAAUACCGCUGGGGGAUGACAGUACCUGAAGAAUAAGCACCGGCUAACUCUGUGCCAGCCGCCGCUGUAAUAC
rnacentral:rRNA from 1 species